rnacentral:rRNA from 1 species
UACGAACUGUGCGAACGUUAUUCGGAAUCACUGGGCUUACAGGGUGCGUAGGCGGCUUAGCAAGUCAGGCGUGAAAGCCCCGGGCUCAACCUGGGAACCGCGCUUGAGACUGGAGAACUAGAGUUCGGGAGAGGAUGGUGGAAUUCCCAGUGUAGAGGUGAAAUUCGUAGAUAUUGGGAAGAACACCGAUGGCGAAGGCAGCCAUCUGGACCGACACUGACGCUGAGGCGCGAAAGCGUGGGGAGCAAACAGG